rnacentral:miRNA from 1 species
GUCUCGGGGCAAGGACUGGAGG